GAGGAAGGCUUAAAGCAAUAGAUACUGCUAAUACCUAUACCCAUGGUUAAAUCCCAUGGCUUCCUUA
rnacentral:tRNA from 1 species